rnacentral:misc_RNA from 1 species
AUUUUGUGAAAGAUGGACCAUUAAGCAGUAGUGCCGGGAGGAACAAUAUAAGUAAUCAGAAUCUACAGGAAACCAGAUUGUCUAAGGACAAUAAGAAUGUUACAGAAGAAAAGGAUGAGUCAGGUCUAAGGAUGCAUCCUUUGCUCUUCCGGGCCCCUGAAGAUGGUCCUUUUCCACAUUAUCAGUCUAACUCUAGUUUUAGUACAUCCAGUUCGUUCAAUUUCUUUUCAGGUUGUCAGCCUAAUCUUAGCCUCUUUCAUCA